GACGUAGGGCGCGAGCGUUGUCCGGAAUUAUUGGGCGGAAAGAGCUCGUAGGCGGUUUGUUGCGUCGGCUGUGAAAACCUGCGGCUUAACUGUGGGCUUGCAGUCGAUACGGGCAGACUUGAGUUCGGCAGGGGAGAGUGGAAUUCCUGGUGUAGCGGUGAAAUGCGCAGAUAUCAGGAGGAACACCGGUGGCGAAGGCGGGUCUCUGGGCCGAUACUGACGCUGAGGAGCGAAAGCGUGGGGAGCGAACAGG
rnacentral:rRNA from 1 species